rnacentral:rRNA from 1 species
UAGUCCACGCCGUAAACGAUGUCUACUAGCCGUUGGGGAACUUGAUUUCUUAGUGGCGCAGCUAACGCAAUAAGUAGACCGCCUGGGGAGUACGGCCGCAAGGUUAAAACUCAAAUGAAUUGACGGGGGCCCGCACAAGCGGUGGAGCAUGUGGUUUAAUUCGACGCAACGCGAAGAACCUUACCUACUCUUGAAAUCCAGAGAAUUCGCUAGAGAUAGCUUAGUGCCUUCGGGAACUCUGUGACAGGUGCUGCAUGGCUGUCGUCAGCUCGUGUUGUGAAAUGUUGGGUUAAGUCCCGUAACGAGCGCAACCCUUGUCCUUAUUUGCCAGCACGUAAUGGUGGGAACUCUAAGGAGACUGCCGGUGACAAUCCGGAGGAAGGUGGGGACGACGUCAAGUCAUCAUGGCCCUUACGAGUAGGGCUACACACGUGCUACAAUGGCCGGUACAGAGGGCUGCAAACCUGCGAGGGGGAGCUAAUCUCAGAAAACCGGUCGUAGUCCGGAUUGGAGUCUGC